UGAUGACAAAUCUCCGGAAUCUCUGUAUAUGUUUGAUGAAACAUUUGAACCCUUUUCCUGAUGACUGCUAAACCAAGC
ensembl:snoRNA small nucleolar RNA MBII-202